rnacentral:rRNA from 1 species
CGGCGUGCUUACCAUGCAAGUCGAACGAUGAAGCCCUUCGGGGUGGAUUAGUGGCGAACGGGUGAGUAACACGUGGGCAAUCUGCCCUUCACUCUGGGACAAGCCCUGGAAACGGGGUCUAAUACCGGAUACGACCCGCCGAGGCAUCUCGGUGGGUGGAAAGCUCCGGCGGUGAAGGAUGAGCCCGCGGCCUAUCAGCUUGUUGGUGGGGUAACGGCCCACCAAGGCGACGACGGGUAGCCGGCCUGAGAGGGCGACCGGCCACACUGGGACUGAGACACGGCCCAGACUCCUACGGGAGGCAGCAGUGGGGAAUAUUGCACAAUGGGCGAAAGCCUGAUGCAGCGACGCCGCGUGAGGGAUGACGGCCUUCGGGUUGUAAACCUCUUUCAGCAGGGAAGAAGCGCAAGUGACGGUACCUGCAGAAGAAGCGCCGGCUAACUACGUGCCAGCAGCCGCGGUAAUACGUAGGGCGCAAGCGUUGUCCGGACAUUAUUGGGCGUAAAGAGCUCGCUAGGCGGCUUGUCACGUCGGGUGUGAAAGCCCGGGGCUUAACCCCGGGUCUGCAUCCGAUACGGGCAGGCUAGAGUGUGGUAGGGG